CUCCACGACCCACCACUCCCCCUUCCUCUCUGCUCCAGACCAAGUUGUGACCGUAUUGGGUUGGGGAUUCACCGGGCCGUGAUGGCGAUGGUGAUGAGGAGAUCAGUAACGGCACUUAGCCUGAGCCAGAGCUCCCUCGCGCCAAGCUCGAGGCUGGGACGCUGCCGAAUCCGUCGCGCCAUGUGCUCCGGCGCGUGGCAGGACGGGGAGUCCGAGGCGGCGGUGCGCGACGUCGUGUGCUUCGGCUCCGGGAGCCUGGACGAGGUGGGAAGCAGGCUGGAUCGCCUGAACUUUGCCAUAUCGCCGGCCCUGGUCAGGCGGGUGAUCGACUCGUGUAGCGAGAGGAGUGAUUCGGGCAGGAGGUUGCUGCGGUUCCUGUCGUGGUGCCGCUCCAAGGACCCCGCCGGAUUGGGGGAUGAGGAGCACGACAGGGCGAUUGCGGUGCUUGCACGGAUGGGUGACCUCACUGCGAUAAAAAUCGCCGUUGGAGAUGGGGAGAAGGAUGGGCGGAGGAUGGCCCCGGAGACGUUCACCGCCGUGGUCGAGGCUCUUGUCAAGGCAGGGAAGGAGGAUGAUGCUGUUAGGUUGUUCAGAGGCUUGGAGAGGCAGAAAUUGCUGCCUCAGCAAGGCCCGGGUGCUGGAGGGGAAGGCAUAUGGUGCAGCAGCCUUGCCAUGGUCCAGACAUUGUGCAUGAAGGGCUAUGCUCGCGAGGCGCAGGGUGUUGUGUGGCACCAUAAGAGCGAGCUCUCAGCGGAGCCCAUGGUCAGCAUCGUUCAGCGUAGCCUCCUCCAUGGAUGGUGUGUCCAUGGAAAUGCUAAGGAAGCUCGGAGAGUCCUUGAUGAUAUCAAGUCCUCAGGCUGCCCAUUGGGAUUGCCGUCGUUCAACGACUUUCUAAACUGCGUGUGCCACAGAAAUCUCAAGUUUAAUCCUUCUGCGCUUGUUUCUGAGGCCAUGGAUAUCUUAACUGAGAUGAGGUCCUAUGGUGUUACCCCUGAUUCCUCCAGCUUCAACAUUUUACUCUCUUGUUUGGGACGAGCAAGAAGAGUGAAAGAGGCAUACAAAAUCCUCUAUUUGAUGAGGGAAGGAGAAGAAGGGUGCUCACCUGACUGGGUUAGCUACUAUCUUGUAGUUAAGGUCCUCUAUUUGACCGAUAGAAUUAUCAGAGGGAAAAGGCUUGUAGAAGAUAUGCUUGAAAGUGGGGUGCUUCCGACAGCAAAGUUUUUCCAUGGCCUCAUCGGCAUCCUUUGUGGAACAGAGAAAGUUGAUCAUGCUCUUGACAUGUUCAAAAUUAUGAAGAGUUGUGGGUUAGUGGACACUCAUACAUAUGAUCUGCUUAUAGAAAAGCUUUCUAGGAGUGGUAGAUUCGAGGUUGCAAAGGAGUUAUGGGAUGAUGCUACUAAGAAUGGCAUUGUGUUAGGGUGCUCAUCGGAUCUGUUGGAUCCCUUGAAGACAGAAGUAUUCAGACCAGUUCGUCCUGCACAAAGACAGACCUCUCAGAACUGUAAGAGCUUGAUCCCAACUAAGAAGGGUACUGCUGCUGGAGCAAUAAAUAAGUAGGAUACUCUGUCCCAGGACAAAGCAGGGAGUCUAGUUCUGUUUUGAGUGCACAUUGAACUUUAUGGACAUAUCUGAGGAGCAACAACAAGAUUUUGGUGUGCUACUAAAGCAGGGGGCUGAAGGAAGGGUAUUUGUUUCGACAUUUGUUGGACGAAAAUGCGUAAUCAAAGAGCGUUUUUCAAAGAAGUAUCGACACCCAGUGCUGGACUCAAAGUUGACUCUAAAACGCUUAAAUGCUGAAGCUAGAUGCAUGACAAAAGCAAGACGGCUUGGUGUUCCUACACCAGUUCUGUAUGCUGUGGACCCUCUUCCACA